UACGUAGGGGGGCGAGCGUUGUCCGGAUUCAUUGGGCGUAAAGAGCUCGUAGGCGGCUUGGCAAGUCGGGUGUGAAAACUCCAGCUCAACCUGGAGACGCCACCCGAUACUGCCAUGGCUUGAGUCCGGUAGGGGACCACGGAAUUCCUGGUGUAGCGGUGAAAUGCGCAGAUAUCAGGAGGAACACCGGUGGCGAAGGCGGUGGUCUGGGCCGGUACUGACGGCUGAGGAGCGGAAAGCGUGGGGAGCGAACAGG
rnacentral:rRNA from 1 species